rnacentral:rRNA from 1 species
UACGUAGGGCGCGAGCGUUGUCCGGAAUUAUUGGGCGUAAAGAGCUCGUAGGCGCUUGUCGCGUCGGAUGUGAAAGCCCGGGGCUUAACCCCGGGUCUGCAUUCGAUACGGGCAGGCUAGAGUUCGGUAGGGGAGAUCGGAAUUCCUGGUGUAGCGGUGAAAUGCGCAGAUAUCAGGAGGAACACCGGUGGCGAAGGCGGAUCUCUGGGACGGUAUUGACGCUGAGACGCGAAAGCGUGGGGGAGCAAACAGG